AGCGAACGCUGGCGGCAGGCCUAACACAUGCAAGUCGAACGAACUCUUCGGAGUUAGUGGCGGACGGGUGAGUAACACGUGGGAACGUGCCUUUAGGUUCGGAAUAACUCAUGGAAACUUGUGCUAAUACCGAAUGUGCCCUUCGGGGGAAAGAUUUAUCGCCUUUAGAGCGGCCCGCGUCUGAUUAGCUAGUUGGUGAGGUAAAGGCUCACCAAGGCGACGAUCAGUAGCUGGUCUGAGAGGAUGAUCAGCCACAUUGGGACUGAGACACGGCCCAAACUCCUACGGGAGGCAGCAGUGGGGAAUCUUGCGCAAUGGGCGAAAGCCUGACGCAGCCAUGCCGCGUGAAUGAUGAAGGUCUUAGGAUUGUAAAAUUCUUUCACCGGGGACGAUAAUGACGGUACCCGGAGAAGAAGCCCCGGCUAACUUCGUG
rnacentral:rRNA from 1 species